CACAAACUUAUUUACAGACCACUUACUGGGAAGAAAUCCGAUGAAAAAUCAUGGUUCUCGGGAAUAGAAUUUUUCAUGAAGUACUAGCACAUUUUCCUCUAUUUUGAUCACGAUUUUUUCAGCGUGUUCAUCAGAACCCCCCCUCGUCAUGUAAAUAUUAUUUCCGUCCCUUUCUUUCACACGUGGAAAUAAAACGUCAAUGCAAGAAACACUUGAAUAAAUAACGUGCUCCGUUUCAAUUAAUUUGUCAGUAAUUAUAUUAAUAUUCACCUUAAUUGUCAUAAAAUGGUAAAUAUUUAUGUGACUUCAAUCAAAUUUGAUGAUAUAUAGUUAAUUUAUUUCAAAACUGAGGAUUUAUUAUACAAAAUUCUCUUGAAAAUAUUAUGUAUUCCUUGGCUUGAAAAUGCAUUUGGAAGAAGGCCGUCUUUUCUGCAUGGUGCACGUUCUCGUCUGAGUUCGCUCCUUGUUUACUCCUGCAUCGAUUUGUUUAUAAAUAAUAAUGAAUGUGCGUCUUGACAUGAAAGCAAAUCGGAGCGAGCAGAGUGCCGAGAUUGGCUACCGCAACACAAACAUCCCGCAAGACACCUCAAGCCCAGUCCCAGUAGAAACGAGUUCUUCUGCCUAAACUACAGUCAAAGGCCCCUCCACGACGCAAGUUACAGUUGUUCAUCCUCAGCCGAAACCUGCCCCAGCCCCAGCCAAAGAAAACAAGCGAGCUAGUCAAAACAUACUAAGUAUAGAAGUCUUCGUGUUUUUGAUCAAUUCAAGUGACCUGUCCAGCAACUCCAAUUCGCCUACGCUAGAUUACAAAUUCGGUCAAACAUCGAAAAAGCCGGGAGCUGUGUAAGGGGCUGCUGAGCCAGCACCUCCCGCCCUGGAACCGACAAAGCCCACAACCACCAGUGAACAACACUCGCAUCCAGUCCAGCAGUCACCAAACCAGCACCAGUCAGCACAGCAUCCCCGGCUCCCAUACCCAUACCCUCCGGCAGCAACUACAUGGCAUACGGCACCGUAUGUAGAACCAUCCGCCACACCACAAACUCGGCAAAAAGUUGCUGACAAACAGCUCUCCGUCGAGGAAGAUGACAGUCGAUCGAAGAGCGCGGACUCGGGUGAUCAGCUCAACGCUGCCAACAGCCGCAAGGGAAUACAAAGAGAGCAGUUGGCACCAGGAACGUCCGCCACCACCACGGACCAGCCGAUUCCGAGAACUAGUCGGAUGGGGGCAUGUUGGUGAUCGGGGAGCGCCUCCACAUAUCGGCGGAGACUGCGCAAGAGUUCAGCAGCGUUGGACAAGCGAUCUGAAAGGAACGGAACAGACUGCGUUUAUAAUGCUUUACCUUAGUACGUUCUACUACAAUGGAGCUCCGCUCAUCGGAAUGGACCAGUUGAGCAUCAAGUGUGGGCCUGAUUACGAGUGUCACUUCACGGUGAAAACAAAAAAGUGACACCGGUAAUAAGGACGGUGAAAGUGAUUCCCAUUUGAUUAACCCACAACUUUUUCACCGUGGAUUCGCAAUGUGUCACCGUGAUCGAUUUCCACCGUGAAGUGACACUCAUAAUAAGGCCCUGUAUCAAAAUGAAAUGUAGGUUGAAAACUCGAUAAAAGGUAAAUAUAAGUUAUGAAUGCGGCACAAA